rnacentral:rRNA from 1 species
UACGUAGGGUGCAAGCGUUGUCCGGAAUUAUUGGGCGUAAAGAGCUCGUAGGCGGUCUGUCGCGUCUGCUGUGAAAACUCGGGGCUUAACCCCGGACCUGCAGUGGGUACGGGCAGACUAGAGUGCGGUAGGGGAGACUGGAAUUCCUGGUGUAGCGGUGAAAUGCGUAGAUAUCGGGAGGAACACCAGUGGCGAAGGCGACUUCCUGGCCUGUUCUUGACGCUGAGGCGCGAAAGCUAGGGUAGCAAACGGG